UACGUAGGGUGCGAGCGUUGUCCGGAUUUAUUGGGCGUAAAGAGCUCGUAGGCGGUUUGUCGCGUCGUUCGUGAAAACUCCACGCUUAACGUGGAGCGUGCGGGCGAUACGGGCAGACUUGAGUUCGGUAGGGGAGACUGGAAUUCCUGGUGUAGCGGUGAAAUGCGCAGAUAUCAGGAGGAACACCGGUGGCGAAGGCGGCUACCUGGACAGUGACUGACGCUGAGACGCGAAAGCGUGGGGAGCAAACAGG
rnacentral:rRNA from 1 species